rnacentral:lncRNA from 1 species
ACUUCAAUGUGAAAAGCCUUUCCAGAUGCAUUUCUGGCCAUGCUUGUGUUUUAUUAUCCACCCAUAACUUGAUCUGUUGCAAUAUGUUCCCUCCACUUAGCUUUUGCUGAAACUCUUCUCUCCAUUCAGCCCCUCCAAAGAGAAAACUGGCUUUUUGUAUUCUUUCACUUCUAUGGGCUGAGUAGAAAAUUCCAGCAAAUCUGUCUCUCCUGCUGCCACGUAAGACUGUAAGACGUACUUUGCUUCCCCUUCACCUUCCACCAUGACUUUAAGUUUCCUAAGACCUCCCCAGUUCUUGCCUCCUCAGAAGAAAGAAUUUAGCCGAGGGGCAU